GACCAGGGGAACGCCUGCGCAGUGUGGCCAGGCCUGAGAAGCCCAGGGACCAUCUAAGCGUGAAGUCAUCGUUUCCCUGUUCCCCUUUCAGUUUGCGGUUUCUCUCGUUCUCGUUCUCGGAUUACUGAGACAGCCAUGCGUAAAGAGGAAUUUCAUCUGAAAUUUUUCAUGUGCAUGAUUCAAUCUCACGGGGUAGUCAGGCCUCCCCAGCGCACAGCUGGGGAAGCUUCAACUUCCAGCAUGCUCAUACAAAAGUCACCACCUGAGAUAGACAACCUGAAGUCUCUACCUGCUAUGGAUGAUCCAGGCACCAUGGAAGGCAUACCUAUUUUGA